AUUGAACGCUGGCGGCAUGCCUUACACAUGCAAGUCGAACGGCAGCACGGGAGCAAUCCUGGUGGCGAGUGGCGAACGGGUGAGUAAAGUAUCGGAACGUGCCCAGUCGUGGGGGAUAACGUAGCGAAAGUUACGCUAAUACCGCAUACGAUCUAUGGAUGAAAGCGGGGGAUCGCAAGACCUCGCGCGAUUGGAGCGGCCGAUAUCAGAUUAGGUAGUAGGUAGGGUAAAGGCUCACCAAGCCGACGAUCUGUAGCUGGUCUGAGAGGGCGACCAGCCACACUGGGACUGAGACACGGCCCAGACUCCUACGGGAGGCAGCAGUGGGGAAUUUUGGACAAUGGGCGAAAGCCUGAUCCAGCCAUGCCGCGUGCAGGAUGAAGGCCUUCGGGUUGUAAACUGCUUUUGUACGGAACGAAAAGGUUUGGCCUAAUAAGCUGAGCUCAUGACGGUACCGUAAGAAUAAGCACCGGCUAACUACGUGCCAGCCGCCGCCGUAA
rnacentral:rRNA from 1 species